GAGAGAUUUCUCAACAUAGCCCGCCUCUUCUCUUUUUCCAUCAAGGGUUUUCUCCUCCAUCUUUUCCAAUCAGGAUGGUAUUGGAGCUAUUGAUGGUACCCAUAUUCCAGCAAUGGUAACUGGGCGUGAUACAAGCAGUUAUAGAAAUCAUCAUGGAACAAUUUCUCAAAAUGUUUUGGCCGCUUGUAACUUUGAUUUGGAAUUUAUAUACGUGAUUAGUGGGUGGGAGGGAUCAGCCCAUGAUUCUAUAGUGUUGAGUGAUGCUUUAACAAGGAGAAAUUGACUUAAAAUGCCACAAGGAUUACACAAUUUUCUCCAGAAAGAAUGUCGAUCCGAUGAAUUUCCAAUCGAACCCGAUAACGAAGAUUCUUCAUCUUUUUCGAUUAAUAAGCGGGAAGACUUUGGACCAUUUUUUGAGAGUCAAGAACAAGAAAGAGAGAAUGCUAAUGUAUGGAGGGCUUCUCUAGCAACGGACAUGUGGAAUGAUGUUGGAAAUGUUUGAUAUUUUUUUUUAUCAUUACUAAAAUACUUUUUUUUUAAUAUUUUUAUUAUUUGUUAAUCUACUUGAUAUAAGAUGAAAAAGUACUUUAUGUUUG